AUACGUAGGGCGCGAGCGUUGUUCGGAAUUACUGGGCGUAAAGCGCGUGUAGGUGGCCAGGUAAGUCAGGUGUGAAAGCCCUCGGCUCAACCGGGGAAGUGCACCUGAAACUGCCUGGCUAGAGGGCGGCAGAGGGAGGCGGAAUUCCUGGUGUAGAGGUGAAAUUCGUAGAUAUCAGGAGGAAUACCGGUGGCGAAGGCGGCCUCCUGGACCGUUCCUGACACUGAGACGCGAAAGCGGGGGGAGCAAACAGGAUUAGAUACCCUAGUAGUCC
rnacentral:rRNA from 1 species